UACGUAGGGUGCGAGCGUUGUCCGGAAUUAUUGGGCGUAAAGGGCUCGUAGGCGGUUUGUCGCGUCGGGAGUGAAAUCCACUGGCUUAACUGGUGGCUUGCUUUCGAUACGGGCAGACUGGAGGUAUGCAGGGGAGAACGGAAUUCCAGGUGUAGCGGUGAAAUGCGCAGAUAUCAGGAGGAACACCGAUGGCGAAGGCAGGUCUCUGGGCCACUACUGACGCUGAGAAGCGAAAGCAUGGGGAGCGAACAGG
rnacentral:rRNA from 1 species